CUUGGUCAUUUAGAGGAAGUAAAAGUCGUAACAAGGUUUCCGUAGGUGAACCUGCGGAAGGAUCAUUACAGAGUUGUUGACACGAGUUGUUGCUGGUCCCCAAACGGGGGCAUGUGCACGCUCUGUUCACACAUCCACUCACACCUGUGCACCCACUGUAGUUCCAUGGUCUGGGGGACGUGCCGUCUCCCUCCCGUGGUUCUAUGUCUUUACACAUACGCCGUAGCGAAGUCUUAUGGAAUGCACUCUGCGUUUAACGCGAUAUAAUACAACUUUCAGCAACGGAUCUCUUGGCUCUCGCAUCGAUGAAGAACGCAGCGAAAUGCGAUAAGUAAUGUGAAUUGCAGAAUUCAGUGAAUCAUCGAAUCUUUGAACGCACCUUGCGCCCCUUGGCCAUUCCGAGGGGCAUGCCUGUUUGAGUAUCAUGAACACCUCAACUCUCAUGGCUUGCCCGUGAUGAGCUUGGACUUUGGGGGUUUUGCUGGCCCUACGGUUGGCUCCUCUCAAAUGAAUCAGCUUGCCAGUGUUUUGGCGGCGUCAUGGGUGUGAUAACUAUCUACGCUCGUGAUCGUCUGCUGAGUGACCUUCAGUGAUGGAGGUUCGCUGGAGCUUACAGAUGUCUCUCCUCAGCGAAGACAGCUUUUCGAACGUUCGAUCUCAAAUCAGGUAGGACUACCCGCUGAACUUAAGCAUAUCAAUAAGCGGAGGA
rnacentral:rRNA from 1 species